UACGUAGGGUGCGAGCGUUAAUCGGAAUUACUGGGCGUAAAGCGUGCGCAGGCGGUUGUGCAAGACCGAUGUGAAAGCCCCGGGCUCAACCUGGGAAUGGCAAUGGAUACUGGCAAGCUAGAGUGCGGUAGAGGGUAGUGGAAUUCCCGGUGUAGCGGUGAAAUGCGCAGAUAUCAGGAGGAACACCGAUGGCGAAGGCAGAUCUCUGGGCCGUAACUGACGCUGAGGAGCGAAAGCGUGGGGAGCGAACAGG
rnacentral:rRNA from 1 species